rnacentral:rRNA from 1 species
UACGUAGGGGGCAAGCGUUGUCCGGAUUUAUUGGGCGUAAAGGGUGCGUAGGCGGGUUGAUAAGUCAGUGGUGAAAGCCCAACGCUUAACGUUGGAACUGCCAUUGAUACUGUCGAUCUUGAAUGUGUUUGAUGUGGGUGGAAUAUGACAUGUAGCGGUGAAAUGCUUAGAUAUGUCAUAGAACACCGAUUGCGAAGGCAGCUCACAAAGCCACUAUUGACGCUGAGGCACGAAAGCGUGGGGAGCAAACAGG